GCAUAUCAAUAAGCGGAGGAAAAGAAACCAACAGGGAUUGCCCUAGUAACGGCGAGUGAAGCGGCAACAGCUCAAAUUUGAAAUCUGGCGCAAGCCCGAGUUGUAAUUUGUAGAGGAUGUUUCUGGCGACGUGCCUUCCGAGUUCCCUGGAACGGGACGCCAUAGAGGGUGAGAGCCCCGUACGGUUGGAUGCCUAGCCUCUGUGAAACUCCUUCGACGAGUCGAGUAGUUUGGGAAUGCUGCUCUAAAUGGGAGGUAUACGUCUUCUAAAGCUAAAUACCGGCCAGAGACCGAUAGCGCACAAGUAGAGUGAUCGAAAGAUGAAAAGCACUUUGAAAAGAGGGUUAAAAAGUACGUGAAAUUGUUGAAAGGGAAGCGUUCAUGACCAGACUUGGGCAGGUUGAUCAUCCGUGGUUCUCCGCGGUGCACUCUGCCUGCCCAGGCCAGCAUCAGUUCGCCCCGGGGGAUAAAGGCUUUGGGAAUGUGGCUCCCUCGGGAGUGUUAUAGCCCACUGUGUAAUACCCUGGGGUGGACUGAGGUUCGCGCUCUGCAAGGAUGCUGGCGUAA
rnacentral:rRNA from 1 species